AAAAACCAAAUUAUUCCACCUUCCUCCACCGAACCCCUGGCCCCCCCCUCCAUUAACAACCCAUCCCAAUGCCCUUACUUAUGGGAAUUGCCCAAUUCCAUGGAACCACCAAUCCUUGAACCCCACCUGGCCCCCUUGGGAAUUCCAAGAACCCGCCCGGUUCAAUGGCCAUAAAUUCCCCAACCCAGGACUUUUGGUGUGGCCUGGAAAACUGGGCGGUUGCCACCUUUUUUUUAUUGCAGGCCCACCUUAAAUACAUAACUGGGGCAUUUACAACCUUGUUAGGUGUUGCAAAUUAUCAAUACAUCUAUGUUUCUCGGAAUAUACUGCUUCUAACAAACCUCAUUUGAUGAUUUUGACCUCAAAUCAGGUAGGACUACCCCCUGAACUUAACCAUAUCAAUAAGCGGAGGAAAAGAAACUAACAAGGAUUCCCUCAGUAACUGCGAGUGAAGUGGGAAAAGCUCAAAUUUGAAAUCUGGCAGCUCUUUCAGGUUGUCCCAGUUGUAAUCUAGAGAAGCGUUACCUGUGUUGGACCGUGUAAAACUCUUCUGGAAUGGAGCAUCAUAGAGGGUGAGAAUCCCGUCUUUGACAUGGACUACACCCAUGCCAAGGUGCACUCUCAAAGAGUCGAGUUGUUU
rnacentral:rRNA from 1 species